rnacentral:misc_RNA from 1 species
GAAAUGCGAUAAGUAAUGUGAAUUGCAGAAUUCCGUGAAUCAUCGAAUCUUUGAACGCACAUUGCGCCCUCUGGCAUUCCGGGGGGCCUGCCUGUCCGAGCGUCAUUACGCACCCUCAAGCCCGGCUUGUGUGAUGGGCCCUGGCGUCUCGUUCGCGAGACGGGCCCGAAAGGCAGCGGCGGCGUCGACCCGAUGAGCCCGAGCGUAUGGGGACUUUUGUCACACGUUUGCGGUGCGGGCCGGCGCCUGCUUGACUUUUCUGAUUAUCCAGGUUGACCUCGGAUCAGGUAGGGAUACCCGCUGAACUUAAGC